AUUGAACGCUAGCGGGAUGCCUUACACAUGCAAGUCGAACGGCAGCACGGACUUCGGUCUGGUGGCGAGUGGCGAACGGGUGAGUAAAGUAUCGGAACGUGCCUAGUAGCGGGGGAUAGCUACUCGAAAGAGUAGCUAAUACCGCAUACGCCCUACGGGGGAAAGGGGGGGAUCGCAAGACCUCUCACUAUUAGAGCGGCCGAUAUCGGAUUAGCUAGUUGGUGAGGUAAAGGCUCACCAAGGCGACGAUCCGUAGCUGGUUUGAGAGGACGACCAGCCACACUGGGACUGAGACACGGCCCAGACUCCUACGGGAGGCAGCAGUGGGGAAUUUUGGACAAUGGGGGCAACCCUGAUCCAGCCAUUCCGCGUGCGGGAAGAAGGCCUUCGGGUUGUAAACCGCUUUUGUCAGGGAAGAAACGCUCUGGGUUAAUACCUCGGGGUAAUGACGGUACCUGAAGAAUAAGCACCGGCUAACUACGUGCCAGCCGCCGCAGUAAUAC
rnacentral:rRNA from 1 species